rnacentral:rRNA from 1 species
UACGAAGGGGGCUAGCGUUGCUCGGAAUCACUGGGCGUAAAGGGUGCGUAGGCGGGUUUUUAAGUCAGGGGUGAAAUCCUGGAGCUCAACUCCAGAACUGCCUUUGAUACUGAAGAUCUUGAGUCCGGGAGAGGUGAGUGGAACUGCGAGUGUAGAGGUGAAAUUCGUAGAUAUCAGGAAGAACACCCGUGGCUAAGGCGGCUCUCUAGUACGGUACUGACGCUGAGACGCGAAAGCGUGGGGAGCGAACAGG